rnacentral:rRNA from 1 species
AUUGAACGCUGGCGGCAGGCUUAACACAUGCAAGUCGAGCGGGGUGAAGUGCUUCGGUACUGAUCCUAGCGGCGGACGGGUGAGUAAUGCUUAGGAAUCUGCCAUUUAGUGGGGGACAACAUUCCGAAAGGAAUGCUAAUACCGCAUACGUCCUACGGGAGAAAGCAGGGGAUCUUCGGACCUUGCGCUAAAUGAUGAGCCUAAGUCGGAUUAGCUAGUUGGUGGGGUAAAGGCCUACCAAGGCGACGAUCUGUAGCGGGUCUGAGAGGAUGAUCCGCCACACUGGGACUGAGACACGGCCCAGACUCCUACGGGAGGAAGCAGUGGGGAAGAUUGGACAAUGGGCGGAAGCCUGAUCCAGCCAUGCCGCGUGUGUGAAGAAGGCCUUUUGGUUGUAAAGCACUUUAAGCGAAGAGGAGGCUACCUGGAUUAAUACUCUGGGAUAGUGGACGUUACUCGCAGAAUAAGCACCGGCUAACUCUGUGCCAGCCGCCGCCGUAA